AAUGAACGUUGGCGGCGUGGAUUAGGCAUGCAAGUCGAGCGAGAUUUUGCAGAUUGAAACUUCGGUCGAUGUCUGUGAAUGAAAGCGGCGAAAGGGAUGGUAACACGUAGAUCACGUGCCCUCGGGUCAGGGAUAGCGUCGGGAAACUGACGGUAAUACCAGAUAAUGUCUCCGGACCAAAGAUUUAUUGCCCGAGGAGCGGUCUGCGUCCUAUUAGCUAGUUGGUGGGGUAAUAGCCUACCAAGGCGAAGAUGGGUAGCGGGUGUGAGAGCACGACCCGCAUCACUGGGACUGAGAUACUGCCCAGACACCUACGGGUGGCUGCAGUCGAGAAUCUUCCGCAAUGGACGAAAGUCUGACGGAGCGACGCCGCGUGCGGGACGAAGGCCUUCGGGUU
rnacentral:rRNA from 1 species